CUCCUUUCUUUAUUCAUCAACCCGCCAACAGCUAUGGAUCUUCAUUUCUUGUAACCGGAUAGAUGAGAGUUUCUUCAAGGACAAGUACAAGGAGUUUUGACUUGAAGACAUCUAGGCCUCUUCAUCCUCCUUUGCUUCCAUCAACCUCUUCAUCAGGUACUGGUAUGGCUGGCUGAAGGACGGGAUGAGGUAACAAUAGACUCGCCAAGCUUCAGCCUUUCUUCUUCACAAGAAACUGAACGGAUGGGGAGUUCUUCAAGGGUUUGGAUUUUGAGCUGAGGUGAGAGCAAGUGAUUUGCAGAAGCUACAGCUCAGGUUCUGAUGAACCUGGCUCUGAUACCAUAUGAUUUUUAUAGAGAUCUUUACUCUGAUUGUAUGUGUGUGUGUAUAAACUCAAAUAGAGAAAGAUUAGAGCUUGUUCUAGGUAAUUUAGAAAGAGGAAUUAAUGAGAGUGUAU
rnacentral:lncRNA from 1 species